AUUUAUGAUAAUCUUUAGUUAUUUUGUAUGACGCAAUUAGAUAAAAGACACGAGUUAACAUAAUCAAAUAUAGUGGGAUAAAAUGAAACAAAUAGCCGUUUAAAAUCAUUAUUAAUCCAUAAAGUAAUUGGUCAAAGUAUCGAUAGCUUCUGAAUACAUGAUAAUCUCAACACCCGGAUAGUUUGGACUUAAACUGGUAUUUUUUGUGCAGUGUAGUAAAGGCUUUACUAAACUACUAUACGAGAUGUUUAACAUGAAGAUAUUUUUGUUGGCAGUUUUGGUAGUGGCUUUGUUUGCUGCCGAAACCUUUGCAUGCAUCGCAGUCGGCAGCACCUGUGGAGUUUCGGAUACUUGUUGCAAUGGUCAAUGUAUACCAGGUCCUAUGAUGGGUCUAGUGGGAACGUGUAUAUAAUAAGUUACGUUAAAUUAACCUCGAAUUAACUUUCGACUCAGUUCAUACAUAUUAUACAUAUAUUAUGUUUUUUUAAAUUUAGAAACAAACAAUUGCGACUAUUUUUUGUAGAAUGCCUGGUUUUAUUUGUAAAUAUAUGUAAACUUUACCUAACGAAAUUUUAAAAUAUAUAAAUUUAUAUACAAAUAUUAUUUUCAAACUUAUAAAUUUUUUUAUUCAAAUUGAAGGUUUCGGAUAUCCAAAUUUAUAUAAACGUUAUAAAAAAUUUUUUUUUACCUGUAAUAAUAGCAAAAAUAAAAAAAAAAAGAAAACGCAACUUAAUUACAUUACAUUUUUAAUUUAAUUCAAAUGCUCUGCUAGAUGUCGUUUAUAGAUUUUGUCUCUACUAAUAAAAACAGUAUAUAUAUGUAUCUAUUUGUCGAGAAAAAUCGCGGGUUCGUUAUGAGUUGAGACCGUUAGAUUUUUAACAUAAUUAUUAUUAAUUAAUAAUAACCCAUAAUACUGAACACAAAAUUCGUUAAUUUUUAAAUAAUAUAUAGAAAUUCAUUUAAUUAUCUCCCAUUUAAAUAAAAUAUUUUGAAAACAAAAAAAUAUGCGAACGCUAAGCAAAUAAAGUUUUUUUUUCUGUCUAUAUAUAAGUUGCAUAUCUAAAAUAUGUGAUGUUUCACAUGGAUAACUCGAAAAAAUAUAAUAAUUAUUUUGUUUUACCCAACCGACAAUAAUUUUUGUAGAUAAGAGUAAUUGUCGCUUCGCCUGUACUCGAAUUUUAGCACUUUUAAGUGUUUUCGACGAAUUGAUAAGAGGAAAAUUAAUUUAAGUAAAUUUUGGAACCACGUACGUCACAGCAAGCAAUUAAAUUACAAGUACGGGUUUCCAUCAUCACAUCGAGUGGGGUCACUAGUAUAAAUAGACAUUUUAAAUGUUGAUUGUCUACAAAGACAUUGGUAAAAGUAUCGAUAGCGUAAAAAAAAAUUGCGAAAAGGAUUAUGAGUGUUGCAGCGGAGCCUGUUACAAUUACGACUGUAUGCCAACCCAUUACUGUGGACCAACCAUCAAAAAAUAAAUUCCAUUAAUUAUUUCCUCUAUAGUCACUAUGGUCAAAAAAAUAUUCCAAGAUAUUUCGAGUUCUCAAAAAUUAUUUGCAUGAAAUCGAUUAUAUUUAUUAAACUAUAAAUGUUAUAAAAAUUAUGAAAUAAAUUUUCGGUUUCUUUAAAAAA